rnacentral:misc_RNA from 1 species
AACGGUCGGCAGGCGAUCCGCGUCGGUCGCUUGGGUGGUAUGGUUCCCCAGAGUCCGGUUCUUGUGCUGCGUACCCCCUCAAGGGAAGCUGGCCACUUGAUGUAAGCCUCCAUCCGGCGCCUUCCAAUGGGCGCAGGAGGACAACGGAGCACCCCCCGCGUUCCACCGAGCCUUCGNCGGUCGAGUGGCCCGCGGGGACGUGCGAUGCUCUCNGACCCAGCGCACGCCGUGGGCGAGGACUCACGUCCCAGUCCCAAGAGAAGCUUCGGUAUAAUGCAUGACGGCCGCUCCCGCCCCCCGUACCGCCCCGGCGGUGCGAGGGCGAGGCGCGGCGUCGCGGAGGAAUNCUACCU